rnacentral:rRNA from 1 species
GGAAUCUUCCACAAUGGGCGCAAGCCUGAUGGAGCAACGCCGCGUGUGUGAUGAAGGGUUUCGGCUCGUAAAACACUGUUGUAAGAGAAGAAUGACAUUGAGAGUAACUGUUCAAUGUGUGACGGUAUCUUACCAGAAAGGAACGGCUAAAUACGUGCUAG